ACGUAGGGUGCAAGCGUUGUCCGGAAUUACUGGGCGUAAAGGGAGCGCAGGCGGACCGGCAAGUUGGAAGUGAAAACUAUGGGCUCAACCCAUAAAUUGCUUUCAAAACUGCUGGCCUUGAGUAGUGCAGAGGUAGGUGGAAUUCCCGGUGUAGCGGUGGAAUGCGUAGAUAUCGGGAGGAACACCAGUGGCGAAGGCGACCUACUGGGCACCAACUGACGCUGAGGCUCGAAAGCAUGGGUAGCAAACAG
rnacentral:rRNA from 1 species